rnacentral:rRNA from 1 species
UACGUAGGGGGCAAGCGUUGUCCGGAUUUAUUGGGCGUAAAGAGCGUGUAGGCGGCCAGAUAGGUCGGUUGUGAAAACUGGAGGCUCAACCUCCAGACGUCGAUCGAAACCAUCUGGCUAGAGUCCGGAAGAGGAGAGUGGAAUUCCUGGUGUAGCGGUGAAAUGCGCAGAUAUCAGGAGGAACACCCGUGGCGAAAGCGGCUCUCUGGGACGGUACUGACGCUGAGACGCGAAAGCGUGGGGAGCGAACAGG